CCUACGGGUGGCAGCAGUGAGGAAUAUUGGUCAAUGGGCGCAAGCCUGAACCAGCCAAGUCGCGUGAGGGAUGACUGCCCUCUGGGUUGUAAACCUCUUUUAUAAGGGAAUAAUGUCAGCCACGUGUUCCAUUUUGCAUGUACCUUAUGAAUAAGCAUCGGCUAACUCCGUGCCAGCAGCCGCGGUAAUACGGAGGAUCCGAUCGUUAUCCGGAUUUAUUGGGUUUAAAGGGUGCGUAGGUGGGUUGUUAAGUCAGGUGGGAAAGUUUGUGGCAUAAACUUAGAAUUGCAAUUGAUACUGGCAGACUUGAGUGCAGAUGAGGUAGGCGGAAUACGUGGUGUAGCGGUGAAAUGCUUAGAUAUCACGAAGAACUCCGAUUGCGAAGGCAGCUUACUAGACUGCGACUGACGCUGAUGCUCGAGAGUGUGGGUAGCAAACAGGAUUAGAUACCCGAGUAGUC
rnacentral:rRNA from 1 species